rnacentral:lncRNA from 1 species
AUCGAAACCGACCAGACUUUGCCACUUCAACCACAACCACCAUCAUUUCCACCACCACCAUUAUUACCGCCACCGCCAUCAUUACCACCACCAGCAUCUCCUCGACGACCAUCACCACCAAUAUGAUUUCCACGACCAAAAACAUCCCAAAUAUUUCUACCGAGGCCAAGGUGAUCCACAAAACGACGAAGAUGACGAACACGACGAACACGACGAACUCGACGAACAGGACCUCCAGCACGACCACCAUGACCAGCAU